rnacentral:lncRNA from 1 species
UCCUUGGCUUUCCCAGGUUUUCUUACACAGGCUAAAAAUCCUUCCAGCCUGAGACCAUCACUUCUCACAGUUCAGUCUUUGUUCCUCACGUGUUUUCAGGUGUGGUGUUGUCCGUGGUUCAACCCGCAGGAUUAGGGGCCAUUUCUGGCAUCCUUGUUUAUUUCACAGUUGUUGGUGUGACCCAGGGGCAGUUGAACCACGGACGGAGCUGAGUUUAAGCUGUUAUGCAGGCGUCCCGUAAGCUUCUCCAUCAGCCAGUCCCCCCUCCUUCCUGCCGCAAGCUGGAGAGGAGCCAUGGCCGCUGCUGAGGGCAAGGCGGGGGUGAAGCGCCGAGCCCAGCCGCCUUCCACAGCCUGGCCGGAGGAGGAGGGAGGAGAGAAAUGUGAUAGAGGUGCAGAAACUGAAAGGAAUUAUCCGUUCUAUUAUAGUUACUACUUACAUCAAAUCUUCCAGAGCUUCAUUUGUCACAAAUUAUUUCACUGCAGGACUGUGUUCAUGCUGCCACUCAGUGGUAGCAAAGAGAUAGCUCAUCUCUGUCUAUCGAUUCCAUCUGCAUGCAACAGCUGCAGAUAAAGGACUAGACACUCUUUAACCAGGUUUCAUGGAUCAAUUGUGCUAAACAAAAAGUUAAAAAGGAAGGAGAAAUAAAUGGUCCCUCAAUGACUCA